UACGUAGGGUGCGAGCGUUGUCCGGAAUUAUUGGGCGUAAAGAGCUCGUAGGCGGUGUGUCACGUCGGCCGUGAAAACCUGCAGCUUAACUGUGGGCGUGCGGUCGAUACGGGCAUCACUGGAGUUCGGCAGGGGAGACUGGAAUUCCUGGUGUAGCGGUGAAAUGCGCAGAUAUCAGGAGGAACACCGAUGGCGAAGGCAGGUCUCUGGGCCGAUACUGACGCUGAGGUGCGAAAGCGUGGGGAGCAAACAGG
rnacentral:rRNA from 1 species